AGAGUUUGAUCCUGGCUCAGAUUGAACGCUGGCGGCAUGCUUUACACAUGCAAGUCGAACGGCAGCACGGGGGCAACCCUGGUGGCGAGUGGCGAACGGGUGAGUAAUAUAUCGGAACAUAUCCGGAAGUGGGGGAUAACGUACCGAAAGGUACGCUAAUACCGCAUAUGCCCUGAGGGGGAAAGGGGGGGAUCGCAAGACCUCUCGCUUUCGGAGUGGCCGAUAUCGGAUUAGCUAGUUGGUGAGGUAAAGGCUCACCAAGGCGACGAUCCGUAGCUGGUCUGAGAGGACGACCAGCCACACUGGAACUGAGACACGGUCCAGACUCCUACGGGAGGCAGCAGUGGGGAAUUUUGGACAAUGGGCGAAAGCCUGAUCCAGCCAUGCCGCGUGAGUGAAGAAGGCCUUCGGGUUGUAAAGCUCUUUCAGACGGAAAG
rnacentral:rRNA from 1 species